rnacentral:rRNA from 1 species
GAUGAACGCUGGCUACAGGCUUAACACAUGCAAGUCGAGGGGAAACGCCGGGGAAGCUUGCUUCCCCGGGCGUCGACCGGCGCACGGGUGAGUAACGCGUAUCCAACCUGCCUCUGACUGAGGGAUAACCCGUCGAAAGUCGGCCUAAUACCUCAUGGCAUCGUCUGCGGGCAUCCAACGACGAUUAAAGAUUUCAUCGGUCAGGGAUGGGGAUGCGUCUGAUUAGCUAGUUGGCGGGGUAACGGCCCACCAAGGCGACGAUCAGUAGGGGUUCUGAGAGGAAGGUCCCCAACAUUGGAACGGCGACACGGUCCAAACUCCUACGGGAGGCAGCAGUGAGGAAUAUUGGGCAAUGGGCGAGAGCCUGAACCAGCCAAGUAGCGUGCAGGAUGACGGCCCUAUGGGUUGUAAACUGCUUUUAUGCGGGGAUAAAGUGAGGGACGUGUCCUUCAUUGCAGGUACCGCAUGAAUAAGGACCGGCUAAUUCCGU